AUUGAACGCUGGCGGCAUGCUUUACACAUGCAAGUCGGACGGCAGCACAGAGAAGCUUGCUUCUUGGGUGGCGAGUGGCGAACGGGUGAGGAAUAUAUCGGAACGUACCGAGUAAUGGGGGAUAACUAAUCGAAAGAUUAGCUAAUACCGCAUAUUCUCUGAGGAGGAAAGCAGGGGACCUUCGGGCCUUGCGUUAUUCGAGCGGCCGAUAUCUGAUUAGCUAGUUGGUGGGGUAAAGGCCUACCAAGGCGACGAUCAGUAGCGGGUCUGAGAGGAUGAUCCGCCACACUGGGACUGAGACACGGCCCAGACUCCUACGGGAGGCAGCAGUGGGGAAUUUUGGACAAUGGGCGCAAGCCUGAUCCAGCCAUGCCGCGUGUCUGAAGAAGGCCUUCGGGUUGUAAAGGACUUUUGUCAGGGAAGAAAAGGCUGUUGCUAAUAUCGACAGCUGAUGACGGUACCUGAAGAAUAAGCACCGGCUAACUACGUG
rnacentral:rRNA from 1 species